rnacentral:lncRNA from 1 species
ACCUCUAAAGCAUGUAUAGUAGCAGAUGGUGUCGCUGGUGGCUGGGCAACAGAAGCCUUGGGCUUGUCGAUGUUGGAAUGCUGCUGCUGAAAAGAUCUUCCAGGGUUGGAGCUGAAAGUGUGUUGUUGAUGACAUCCCUGUACUUCUCUUUCGGCUUUAAGAGCAAGAUGAUAUAAUUGGUUGAACCUGUUCCUUCCAAUCUUUGUAAUCAAGAAUAUCCUAUAUAUCAUGAUUCAAACCACCAAAGAAUCUAGCACAAGUAUCUUCAUCAUCC